GGGGAAGAAGGGCGGUGGGGUGGGGGGAGGCGGUGGGUUUGGGUUGUGGCGUGGGGUGGAUGCUAACAUGGUGAAGCACAUUGAGGAGUAACCCAAAGUUAGUAUUCAAAAGUUUUUCUCCAUCACUGAGCUUAUAAAUCAGUACCAUAAAACAAAAACAGAAAUGCCAACAUUGUUUCUUUUUCUCCCUCAAUAAAAUUUCUAUGCAUACUCUACCACAAUUGACAUUGACACAGGAGACACCAAGACAAAUUCAAAUUAGCACCCACAUUAAUCUUUAAAUUCAACUUA
rnacentral:misc_RNA from 1 species